GCUGGGCAUGGUGGUGUGUGCCUGUAGUCCCAGCUACUCAGGAGGCUGAGGCAGGAGGAUCACUUGUGCCUGGAAGGUCAAGGUCGCAGUGAGCUGCACUCUAGUCUGGGUGACAAGAGUAAGACCCUGAUCACACCACUGCACUCUAGUCCGGGUGACAGAGUAAGACCCUGUCUCAA
rnacentral:SRP_RNA from 1 species